CCAGCCAGCCCACAUAUCAUCAUAUCUGCCAAUGGGCUGACCAUCUCCCAUGAGUCCAAAGUACAUAGCAGGGCCUAUCAGCUCCCUGUUAAAAGCGAGGUUCAUUCCACACAUCGGGAAUAGGGUACCCUUCGGGAUUGUCAGAACAGCAUCCACAUAUCUGUGUGAGCUAAAAUUAAUCUACAAUUAGGCAAUGUGAACUUCUAAUUACAGGCAAACAUUUUUAAUAUUUUGAAGAAGAAUGUUGACAGUUCAAUCACCAACUAUAUCAAGCUUGGUUUUUUAACCAAAAAUUUACAAAAAAAGGGCUCAGAUGAUGAAUAGAAUCAUAAUUGCCAAAUUGUCCUAAAGAAUGUUAAUGGCGAGGAGACAAAUGGGAGGAUGGAAACCAAUGCCUCUCAACUAGCAUGUGCAGUAAGUUUCCACAAAAUGUCAUUGUUUUGAUCUUCCUUAAUUUGCUUCAAGAUUUCCACACCAGAAGCUUCAACUACGCAUAUAACCAUAAUCAAGAAGCUAUCUUUGAUGCAUAAUAUAUUAUAAGAAUUCAGUGUAUACAUGAUAUGAAGCUGGAGGUAUCCACCAUAAGAGAGAAAAAAAAGGAAGAGCGAACCUGGUGUUACGCUCAAGAGGUUUGACCAGCUGAGUAGGGGCGUCAUAGUCAGGGAUGUUGAGCCAAAGGCCAUGGGAGAUGGCAGUGGGCACUCCUCCUCGCAAGCUAAAUGGGUAACCUCUCACAAAAUCUGCCCCUUCUCUGAAUGGAUCAUACAGGGUGUUGAAGAAGAAGGGUGUCGAUGGGGUUAGCAAAUUCUGUAUGUGCUGUGCCAGCGCAUUUAUCUCCUUCGCACUUGGAUCCUUAGCAACAAAGCAAUCGUCAUCGAUGGUGAAGAUGUAUUUCUUCUUAGAAACCAAGAACCCGAAGCACCGACAGGCGGAGUCCUUGUAAGAGAUACAAUUGGCCUUAGGUCCAAGGACCCGAUUCACAUCGUUCCUGUUAUAAAGCUUGUAAUCAAAGCCAUCAGGAACCCGGAUUGUCUUGCUGGGAUCUCCAUCCUGGACGAUAAUUAGGUGGUAAGGCUGGAAGAAUGGCCUCCACAUCUCCAAG
rnacentral:misc_RNA from 1 species